UACUUGGCUUGGGCAACUGCAGGGGAAGUUGCCCCCAAAGUGUCUGUGAGGAUGGAACAUGGUGGAGGACGUGGGAAGUGGCGACAGGGAACGGGAGGCUGAUUGUGAAGUGCAGAGAUUUGGAAUUGUUCUAUCAUUCCCUACCAACAGGUUGGAAGAGCUAUGAGAUGACUCCCGCCAGAGGGGUUCCCACACCUUCUUGUGAUAUAGGCCACUUCUCCAGCAACACCUCCUUACCCACUCCACUCCCUAUCUACAAGCUGAAGGAGGGAGGGCCCUCCAGGGGCAGAGAGAGGGCCACACACAGCUAGAACAGAAUCCUGCCAAUGCAGGUGAAGGGCGCUGGGCACUCACCAGCCCUGAGAAAGAGGGGGGCAUCAGGAACUGGCAUUGGCAGGCCCCAACGUUGCUGUUGAGAGGCUGUAACUCCUCUGCCCUCCUGACUCUUCCUGAGAGAGGGGCUGCUUUCUUUAACCAGUCCUGAAUGUCUCUAGUCUGAACUUGUAGCUGAGUGACUAGAGAUUUUGAAGUUGCAUAGAUGAGUGUUCAAACCUUAGUUUUUUCAGUUGCUACCUGUUUAACAUGAGGCAAAUUACUUAACCUCUCUGAGCCUCAGUUUUUGUAGCUGUAAAAUAGGGGUGAGUACAGUACCGACCAACAAACUGUUUCAAGGAUUAAUUGAGAUCGAGCACAUAAAGUAUGUAAGACACAAUGCUGGCACAUAACAAGCUCUCAGUAAGUCGGUAGUAUUAUAGUUAUUAUUGCUAUUGUUAUCAUCACCGACGAUUAUGUCACUAGAAGACCUAGAGGCUGAACACAUAAUUGAGAGACUUAGAAGAACUGAGAAUGAUAAAAGAAACCUCAGCAUGUGAUCUACAAUAUGGUAUUAUUUUUGUUUUUAAAAAAAUGUUAACUGGAUAUCUCUAA
rnacentral:lncRNA from 10 species